UUUCGGGAGUUUGGCAAAGCCAGGGGAGCUGGAGGGGAGGUGUGGAGCCAGGGCCCUCCUGGCUGCUGCGGAAUAUCAGGUUCAGCCGCGGCAGAGGAUCGGCAAUGGGAUGAAGGGCCUCUGCAGCCAAUCCCAUCCUGAGCCCACACAACUCCUUGUGUGUGUGGUGGAUUUGGGACAGUGGGUCUCAGAGGGUUGAGGUUAAGGGGACCUCAGCUUACCCUGCAGAGGCCCCUGCCCAUGAUGUGGUCUUCCCCAGGCCCGAGAGCUGUCAUGCCUGGAUGUGCAUCUGGACAGCACAGGGAGCACCGCUGUGGUUGCAGAUCAGGACAAGCUGGAGCUGGAGCUGGUGCUGAAGGGGUCCUAUGAGGACACACAGACAUCCUUCCUGGGCACAGCCUCUGCCUUCCGCUUCCACUACAUGGCAGCCCUAGAGACAGAGCUGAGCGGGCGCCUGAGGAGCUCCAGAAGCAAUGGCUGGAAUGGGGACAACUCAGCUGGGUACCUCACUGUGCCCCUGAGGCCCUUGACCAUUGGGAAGGAGGUGACUAUGGAUGUUCCUGCUCCAAAUGUACCCGUUGUGGGCAU
rnacentral:lncRNA from 1 species